AGGGUAACUAUCAUCAUGUGUCUGGAGGUC
rnacentral:piRNA from 1 species